GCACGCUGCCACGGGAGUCCGGCACACCGGACUGAGAGGUGGGCGUGUGGCCCACGACCGUUCGCACCUGAUUCGGAUCAUGCCGACGCAGGAAGGUGAUCAGCCCUCCUG
rnacentral:ncRNA from 2 species